ACUUUUAACCCAUUUUUUUCCACCAUCCCUUCCUAAUGUCAUCUAUUCACAUAAAAGAAAAUACUUCCUUCUUUCUGCUGUACUUUCUUCACAAACUUUACAAAAAUAUUCCAUAUUACCAAUACCCCUUAAAACUCAUAAAUGUUACAUAUUAUUACCACACUCUAUUACUUAGACAACUAUUACCCAAGUUACUUAUGACAUAUCUCUAACCAUAUACUUUAUUUACACUGCCUUCCACCUAUCCAUAUGUUGUCUCUUAAAAAUAUGCCCAAAGCAUAGAUACAACACACCUACAAUUCAUUUUUGCUUUUCUCUAUAUCCAUAAAUUUUUUUUUAACUAUUUUCUAUUUCCUUAUACACUACAGCUACUAUUAAGAAUUACUUCUAAUAACCAUUAAAACAUUGCAUACACAAACAUUUUUCUAACAUCAAGUAACAUUAUGUUAUAACACAAGACUUGCACAGAUACACUAUCCCCACCCUGCCCACAUUUUCCUUAACUCCACCCCUUACUGUUGACACCUACUUUAAAUACAAGGCAACCUUUCUCACUGCUCAUACUUCUUCUGAUGCAUCCUGAAGGCAACUAUGGACCAACAAGGACAAACAUUAAAAAGAUCUACAAUCAACAAAAGAACUUUCGACGUACCCCAAGGACUACAAGUCUGCUUGCUAACAGACUCAAUGUGUCGAGGUAUUGAGGACUACCUACCAGCUGCAAAAUGCUGGGUACACCCAGGCACUACUCUUGAGAGAUCUACUAAACAACACAUAUACCACUUUGAGACAAUAAACAACAAUGCAGUGGUACUACUCCACAUUGGAACAAAUGACAUUGCAAGUGGAGCACCUCCAUCGCUGAUCAUCCAACGAAUGAAAGCACUAAUCACUUCAAUCUCUCAAGCAAGCCCUCACAUUCUGUAUUUUGCAAUUAGUGCUGUCUUGCCACGACUUACAGAUGACUCAACAAAAAAAACAACAGUGAAACAAUACAACACCAUGCUACAUCGCUGGACUACUCACACAGACAACAUUAUCUUUCUGAAGACAACAAAACCUUUCCUCAAACAUGGAAAAAUAGUCCACCACCUAUACAAACAAGAUGGCCUCCACCUUAAUCAACAAGGAAAACAAACUUUUUACAUACUUUCAGCAGUUCCUUUGGCAUUUUUGCCACUUUUCAGCACAAACAAAACAAGUUUAGUAUCCCAUUAUUUAUUUUUUUUUCAGUCAAACUUGUUCUUAUUAAUAACCAUUACAUGUUGUCCCUUUCUGAAAGAAUAAAGUGCCAUUCUCUUUAUUUGCAACCAUUUGGCUUAUUCUUGCAUUUCACUUUUCUACACAUACAACACAAGCACUUAAAUUCCUUUUCACUAUCACUUCAUCAAUUCCUUGCAAUUUCCUUUGCCAUUACAUGUCAAACACAUUUUGGGUAUACAAUGAUACUUCACAUACUAAACAUUUCCUGUUAAAACA